CCAGCCCCCACAAGUGUGGGAUGCGUCGUGCAUUAGGUUACCUUUUUUCUAUGAGAAUGUUCGCAAACGCCUGAAGCUUCAUUUAUCGCAUUUCAGGUCAUUAAAAUUGUCUUAUAUACUUGCUGGCUAAAUGAUUCAAGGACAUUUUUUAUGUGAUUAUUUUCAUGGCAUGUCUCUUAUGUUCUCCUAAAUCAAUUAUAUGAUAUGUGUUGUAUAAUACAAUCCUGCUAACCUUUGCAUGACAAUGAUGGUAGGUUAUGCGUCUUUGGUCAUUA
rnacentral:misc_RNA from 1 species